rnacentral:rRNA from 1 species
AUUGAACGCUGGCGGCAUGCCUUACACAUGCAAGUCGAACGGCAGCGCGGACUUCGGUCUGGCGGCGAGUGGCGAACGGGUGAGUAAUACAUCGGAACGUACCCUGUUGUGGGGGAUAACUAGUCGAAAGAUUAGCUAAUACCGCAUACGACCUGAGGGUGAACGUGGGGGAGCGCAAGGCCUCACGCAGCAGGAGCGGCCGAUGUCUGAUUAGCUAGUUGGUGGGGUAAAGGCCCACCAAGGCGACGAUCAGUAGCUGGUCUGAGGGGACGAUCAGCCAAACUGGGACUGAGACACGGCCCAGACUCCUACGGGAGGCAGCAGUGGGGAAUUUUGGAAAAUGGGGGCAACCCUGACCCAGCAGUGCCGCGUGUGUGAAGAAGGCCUUCGGGUUGUAAAGCACUUUUGUCCGGAAAGAAAUCGCGCUGGUUAAUACCUGGCGUGGAUGACGGUACCGGAAGAAUAAGCACCGGCUAACUACGUGCCAGCAGCCGCGGUAA